rnacentral:rRNA from 1 species
CCCUUAGAUGUUCUGGGCCGCACGCGCGCUACACUGACGAAGUCAGCGAGCAUCUCCUACGCCGAAAGGUGCGGGGAAUCUUGUGAAACCUUGUCGUGCUGGGGAUUGAUUUUUGAAAUUCUUGAUCAUCAACGAGGAAUUCCUAGUAAGCGCAAGUCAGCAGCUUGCGUUGAUUACGUCCCUGCCCUUUGUACACACCGCCCGUCGCUACUACCGAUUGAAUGGUUUAGUGAGAUUUUUGGACUGGAACUCUCUUGUUCAGCAAUGAACGAGAGGGACUCUGGGAAGCUAUUCUAACUGUAUCAUUUAGAGGAAGUAAAAGUCGUAACA